GCCGCGCAGGCAGCAGCCGCGCCACCCGGGGGCUCGUUGGAAACGCAGAAUCUGCACCUUCGCGCUGUCUCCGGGGCUCACGGGGCGCCUGAGUCGGAAGCCCCGCCCUGGGGAGGCCGGUCUCCUAGCGAGGGCCUGGGCCCCUCUGGGCUCUGAGGGCAGCCACCCUCGGCCCGCGUGUCGGGGGCUCCCCAGGGCGCCCCGGGCUCCUGUUCCUGUUUCUUCUUGGCCGUCCUUGAGGUGCGGAGCCCCCGGGCUCUGCUGAGGGCCUCCCGGCCUCCGUGACAUCGGUGACCUCGGUUCAGGCGUCAGUGACCGUCUUGCCUGGUGGCUCAGCGCCGCUGAUCUCGGCCAACCGCGGGUCUUCCUUGUCUUGUGGACCGGAGGGAGCAGCUGGGCGGAGAGACCCUGAGUCGCAGUCGCACGGCGUGGCGUUCCGCGUGACCCUGCAAUUAAAACCCCCGCGCUGCAGCAUCGCGGAAAACGGGAUUCGCAUAAUUUGAAAUUUGAGGAAAAUCUCUAAAUACUUUAAUUUUGAUAGAAACUAUUUCCACUGCUGACAUGUGUCUACACCUAUAAUUUCAGUUGAUAAAUUGCUGUAAUUUCUCCUCCAUUUCAUGUUCUUUCGAACAUUAAUUGUCAGUUGCAGGGAAGGAACUUCUAAACUGAAAGCUGGCAAGACUCAGCAGAAAAAAAAUAUCAAAAGCUGCUUCUGCUGCCCCAGCUUCACUCAGGCCCUGGCUGCUCCUUCACGGGUCUACACUGCUGCCUCCUGGAACCACCCACUCUGCAACCAGCCGUGAGGGGUGAGGCUCGCUCGGAAGCUCCCAGAACCUGGAGGCUGCCCUCACUCAACACUUGAACAAGCAAGGGGCCAGAUUCAAUGAAACACCUGCCCGCCCGGCACACCAGGCUCAAAAGCAAGCAAGCAAGCAAACAAACAAACAAAAUCAAAUCAGGCCUUCACAACUCCCCAAAUCAUGUGUGAGUUUCUACAGAGCAGAAGCCAAAAAUAUAUGUUAUCUAACUAGGUCCUAUUUACAUAUAUUUUUAUGGCUGCUUUAAAAAAUUAUCACAAACAUAGCGGCUUCACCCCGUUUCCCCUGUUGUGAUUAUUACAGAUUGGAUGCCUGUAUCAAAAUAUCUCAUGGACCCCAUAAAUAGCAACACCCUGUAUGUACUCAUGACAAUUUUUUAAAAAAGAACACUUACACUUUC